rnacentral:rRNA from 1 species
CACGUAGGGCGCAAGCGUUGUCCGGAAUUAUUGGGCGUAAAGAGUCUCGUGAGCGGUCUGUUGCGUCCGCUGUGAAAACUCGGGGCUUAACCCCGAGCCUGCAGUGGAUACGGGCAGACUAGAGGUAGGUAGGGGAGAAUGGAAUUCCCGGUGUAGCGGUGAAAUGCGCAGAUAUCAGGAGGAACACCGGUGGCGAAGGCGGGUCUCUGGGCCGAUACUGACGCUGAGGAGCGAAAGCGUGGGGAGCGAACAGG